rnacentral:rRNA from 1 species
CCUACGGGGUGCUGCAGUCGAGAAUCAUUCACAAUGGGGGAAACCCUGAUGGUGCGACGCCGCGUGGGGGAAUGAAGGUCUUCGGAUUGUAAACCCCUGUCAUGUGGGAGCAAAUUAAAAAGAUAGUACCACAAGAGGAAGAGACGGCUAACUCUGUGCCAGCAGCCGCGGUAAUACAGAGGUCUCAAGCGUUGUUCGGAAUCACUGGGCGUAAGGCGUGCGUAGGCGGUUUCGUAAGUCGUGUGUGAAAGGCGCGGGCUCAACCCGCGGACGGCACAUGAUACUGCGAGGCUAGAGUAAUGGAGGGGGAACCGGAAUUCUCGGUGUAGCAGUGAAAUGCGUAGAUAUCGAGAGGAACACUCGUGGCGAAGGCGGGUUCCUGGACAUUAACUGACGCUGAGGCACGAAGGCCAGGGGAGCGAAAGGGAUUAGAUACCCUGGUAGUC